GGUGGGUCGGAGUGCUUGCACUUUGCUGACGAGCGGCGGACGGGUGCGUAACACGUAGGAAUCUGCCUGGUAGUGGGGGAUAGCCCGGAGAAAUCCGGAUUAAUACCGCAUACGCCUUACGAGGGAAAGCAGGGGAUCUUCGGACCUUGCGCUAUCAGAUGAGCCUGCGUCGGAUUAGCUGGUUGGUGGGGUAAAGGCCUACCAAGGCGACGAUCCGUAGCUGGUCUGAGAGGAUGAUCAGCCACACUGGGACUGAGACACGGCCCAGACUCCUACGGGAGGCAGCAGUGGGGAAUAUUGCACAAUGGGCGAAAGCCUGAUGCAGCCAUGCCGCGUGUGUGAAGAAGGCCCUAGGGUUGUAAAGCACUUUCAGCGAGGAGGAAAGGUUAAAGGUUAAUACCCUUUGGCUGUGACGUUACUCGCAGAAGAAGCACCGGCUAACUCCGUGCCAGCAGCCGCGGUAAUACGGAGGGUGCGAGCGUUAAUCGGAAUUACUGGGCGUAAAGCGUGCGUAGGCGGCCUUUUAAGUUGGAUGUGAAAGCCCCGGGCUCAACCCGGGAACUGCAUCCAAAACUGGAAGGCUCGAGUGCGGGAGAGGAGUGUGGAAUUUCCUGUGUAGCGGUGAAAUGCGUAGAUAUAGGAAGGAACAC
rnacentral:rRNA from 1 species